CGCACAUUGCGCCCCUUGGUAUUCCGGGGGGCAUGCCUGUUCGAGCGUCAUUUAUACCAAUCUAGCCUGGCUAGGUGUUGGGCGCCGCCGCCGGGCGGGCCUUAAAACUAGUGGCGGUGCUCUCAAGCUCUACGCGUAGUAAUCUUCUCGCUAUAGGGUCUUGGGAGAUGCUGGCCAGCAACCCCAAAUUUUUCUAGGUUGACCUCGGAUCAGGUAGGGCUACCCGCUGAACUUAA
rnacentral:misc_RNA from 1 species